rnacentral:rRNA from 1 species
ACGUAGGCAGCAAGCGUUGUUCGGAGUUACUGGGCGUAAAGCGUGCGUAGGCGGUUCUCUAAGUUUGGUGUGAAAUCUCCCGGCUUAACCGGGAGGGGGCGUCGAAGACUGGGGAACUAGAGGAUGGGAGAGGUAAGCGGAAUUCCUGGUGUAGCGGUGAAAUGCGCAGAUAUCAGGAGGAACACCGGUGGCGUAGGCGGCUUACUGGACCAUCCCUGACGCUGAGGCACGAAAGCGUGGGUAGCAAACGG